UUUCCUCGCAGAAAACCACCUCCCCCGCGCGCCCGACGCCCUCCUCCUUGUCCUAACCGCCGGCCGCGGCGGUUUCUCCUCCCUCCCUCGCGUAUAAGCCUCGGCCAUUACAUCUUCUUCUUCCUUCCUGAGCGCGCACGCCCUUCUCUUCAUCUUCUGCCUGACACCGUCUGUGCCCUAGCCAGCCCGACGCCACUGCCGGCACCGAUUCCCCAGCGUCGGCCGCCGGCCCUCUGUGCCCUAGCAUCUCCACCGACGCCGAGCAGUGCUGGCCUUCUCUCCUCUUCCUCCAUCCCGAGUUUCCCCAGCCGAUUCUUCUCGGACGUCCUCUGCCCUAGAUUUGGGCCACAGCCACCGUCACUUUGCCCUAGCCGACGCCACUUCUACUCAGCCCUAGCGCCGGCGCAUCACUGUUGGUGUUUGUUUCCGGCCAGGAGAAAGGUGUCAGUGGCCUAGUUUUGGUUUCACAACCGCUGUUGCAUCCCUGGACAGUGCUGACGACUACUGGCUUUCCGAUCCGAGGUGCCACCUCUACGUGAAUUGGGCGUCAUCCAGGAGUAAAGGUUUGGUAUCAACGGGAUUAAGCUGUUGUUGGAGCUGAGGAAUCUGAUCAUUAUUCAUACACUUAGGACUGUGAUUCGGGAUGGGCAUCUCGACAUCAGAUUGAUUCGAUUCGAUUUAUUGGAGGCGGGU